rnacentral:hammerhead_ribozyme from 1 species
AUUUGGCUGACGAGUCCUAAAUAGGAUGAAAUGCACGUUUAGAAU